UUUUUUUUUAAAUUUUGGCUGGAAUCCUACAGCGGAUUGUCUGAUGUUCUCCGUGUCAAAUUACUGCACAUAAUGAAGAUUCUCCAUCGAUAGACCUGCGAUGCGAUCGUGGUCAUAAGUAACGAGGACACCGAGGUCCGGACCUUUCGAUGGUCAUUUCAAAAGCAGAGCGUUCACAGCAUCCGUCAAAUACACACACUGUGACGUCCUGAUAACAUAAUGGCACAAUGGAGCCUCCCGUGCAGAAAUACCGAAUUCAUUCAACUUAAACAGUGUAACUUGAGCUACAGCAGUUUAUCUACGAAUGGAAGUACAAAAUAAGAGAACUUAGAAAUUAUAAACCGAUGUAGUGUACAUUUGGCAUUGUGUUCAUAUUAAAUAGUGCAGUUGGUCGAAUAGUUUGUGAUCCUGGUCAGUAAUGAAAAUAGUAAUGAAAACGACUACUCUGUGCUUCGAUAAGGCAAUAUCGAUGCGUUCGUGUUCGCUAGCAUGUCUUGUUUACGUUUUACCACUGCCAUGAGAAAUAAAAACAGGAAAAAUCAGAACAAGGUUUCCCGGACGUCCUGAAAACGUCCAAUUUUGAAAAAAAUACGUAACGCGAGUUCUUUGUGUGUAAGAUAACGAGAACAAAUCAGAACCAGCUCCGAUCCUGACAGACGGCUCCGACCCUGCCGUCCUGCUGUCACUGGAAUGUGACCUCCAUCAAAACACACACACGACCGAUGGAGAAGGAGAUGGAUGGAUGAAGGGAUUGGGAGAUUAGGAUCAAAGAACGGGCAGCGCACCGAAGAGAGACGAGAGGGUGCACUCUGCUCUGAGUGGAGUUAACAGGAGUUUUCCCCAUGGACAAGGAAAGAGAAAGUCCAAACUAAUGACUAAUCAACUGGGGGGAAUGUCUGAGUUCCUUAACGACAGAUCAGUGACACACACUAAAUCACUAAAGUGAACAAUUGCAAAUCAAUAAGCACGCACACACACAGUCUUUAGUUCAACACCACGCCGCAUUCACUUCACUUCAAUUCAAUUCAAUUUUAUUCGUGUGGCGCUUUUAACGAUGGACGUCGUCUCAAAGCAGCUUUACAGAGACAUAUAAACACAGGAUAGAGAUUUUAAGCGUGUGAAUUUAUCCCUAUUGAGCGAGCCGGUGGCGACGGUGGCGAGGAAAAACUCCCUAAGAUGAUAUGAGGAAGAAACCUUGAGAGGAACCGGACUCAGAAGGUAACCCGUCCUCAUCUGGGUCACAACGGAUAGUGUGAACGUAAAGGGAAGUUCGUUAUGGUGUUUAUAUGAAGUCUGUGUGUUGAACUAGUCCACUGUUCACUAAAGGAGACCCGAGUGUAAAACUGUACGUGGUGAUUGCAGUCUUAAGGCCAUCGCAGCAACCGUAGUCCCGGCAACCACAGCGAGAACGUCCAUGUGGAAUUGAGGUCCAAAACCAUUUCCGUGAUACUUCAAGCAGCACCGUCCUCAACAAUCCUCAGGAUGUAGCCUCCAGGUGAUGAGAGCUCCAUCCAGAGGUAGGGCAUCAGGAUGGAUCAGGCAGGUCCGGAGAGCAGAAAGGGUCAGGAUCACUGCCAUCAUCAUAAAAUCAUGUGUGGCUCGACAGAGGGAGAGGGAGGUAAAUACUGUAAAAGAUAAAGAAUUCGGCCCUAACUCUGACUGAUCUAGCAGUGCCGGCAAGACAGGUUUGGCGGGAAGAGAAAUCAGCAGAACAGGAGUGUCUGUGAGAGAAUAAUUUUGAGUGACAGCUCUAGCAAGGAGUGACACAGAUCUGUUACUGAGAGAGAGAGAGUGAGUGUAUGUACAUGCAUAGAAUAAAAUGUAUAAAAGAUUUUCCUGAUAAUUUGAUCCACUGUUUGGAAAUCAGAUUUCCUGAGCCCUCGGAGAAUUGUUCCUGUGUUCAGUUUUCAGGACGAUGGACUUUCGUCACGUGACAAGCUGCGUUUUUGUCCUAUUGACCUCAAGGCAAAGAUUGUGAAUGUUUGUUUACGGGUGUAAAUAAUAACAGGAAGGCAUUCGUUUCCAAAGCAUUAAAUGUAACAAUAAAUGGACAAAAAGUACAACGUGUCAUCCUUUAAUAAAUAAAGCAUUUAGACAUGCAUUUAUUGGAAAAUCAUCGACUGCAGCGUCGACCCCUUACGUCUUUUAUUCCUUCAAUAAGUUUCUAAAGAGGAUUUGUUCUUUAUGGCACCAAUUAAUCCGAGGGAUCUGAGUGGACGUGCAGGCUUUGGAGCACUUCGAAUUUGCAUAUUCAUAUUCACACUUCUGUGCCGUUCCUGCUGUCUAAAGACGACUGUGGUUCGUUAUCACGAGAAAUUCGUUAAUCGAUACACUUUCACUAUAUUUGACUUUUUCCUGAUAUUUGACGCGUUUCACAGUAUAAAAUGAAAUCCAUACAACAAAAUCCACGAUUCGAAUUCUCAGUUAUGACAAAGCAUCAUCUCUUAACGAGGACAUUUCAAAGAGCAGCGGUUUAACAAAUGAUAUUCCGGAUCAGCAAUGCCAACAGUCCAGAAUUCCUAAAUCCAGCAAAAUAUAUUGCAAGUGAGGGAGUUUAAGGAUGAGCCAUUACCCUUUUGAAGCUUCCGUUCAAAGAUUUCAUGGUGUUUCAGUGAGUUUUUACUAUAAAUUAAAUAUAAUAUAUAUAUAAAAUUUUACUGGAUGGAAAAAUCUUUAAUACAGUGUUCCUAGGUGAUGUGAGUACCAAUAAUUACGGCGCGAGUUUAUGAGAAUCAGACACGUGGCUCCUAAAAAUCUGCCAUUUCCCUCAACACCUUUUCUUCUCACCUCGAUACGUCUCUCCAUAUCAGUUACGGAGUCCUGAUCAGCCCGUGACAUGAGACACCCCAUAAACCCACAUAAAAGUCAGAGGGUGCGAACGCUAGCAGCUUCUCUCUGCUUCUCAUUUCCUGUGUGGAGCCCUUUACAGCAGCGGUUCCUGCUUUUACACAAGCUCCCCCUGCCAGGGGCAACUUCACUUCAUCUGGAUCAAACAUCACGCAGUACUCAGGGGGAGUUUUCUACAGGAAACACACCGUCAUACACAUCUGACACAUGACGAGAGAGCGAGUGAGAGAGACUUACAGAAGUAAUACCUCCUUUGGCAGGUAUCACUACUGGCGAAUGCUGUUUGUACUCUUCUUUGCAGAAUGUUUCUAGUUAUGAGAUAUUCCUGGGUGAUCUUGCCUGCACAGUAUGUUUAAGAUUUACACACAGAUUUUCAAUUAUGUUCAAGGUCUGUAAGGCCAAUCAAACGCUCCAGCUUGCAUUUCCUGAAGUACUCCAUGGUAGAUUUUGAGUUAUGUUUUGAUUCACUGUCCUGUUGUCAAAUCCAGCGCGUUUUCAACUUUGGCUUCUUGACUGACUGUGGCACAUCUACCUGUGCAAAGUUUCUUGAGCCACUGGCUAUCACAAAACCCCAAAGCAUGACACGUUCACCCAUAUGCUUAAUAGUGCAUCAAAUGCUGCUCACUUUUUUCACCAAACAGACCUUUGGUGAUUGUAGCCAAAUAGUAUCCAGAAUGCCUCUGGCUUACCUAGACAUUGCUUUGCAUGCUUCAUACACUGACUUUUGUGAUGAAGUAAGGUUUCCUUCUGAUGACUCUUCCAUGCAGAGCAUGUUUGUGCAAGUAACUCUGCACAGUAGAUUGGCGCACCACCACUCUUGUGUCAGCUUAACUUUCCUGCAGGUCUUUAGCAGUGCUUGGGACAUUUGCUUUGCCCUUCUGCCCAAUAUACCAGUAGUUCUGUGUGAGAGAUUUCCUGGUCUUUCAACUGUUUCCUUGACUUCCACAGUUCCCCUUAACUGCCAUUUCUUAAUGACAUUUCAGACAGUGUAAAUUGAGAGUUGGAACGAACCACUUUGCUAUCUUUUUAUAGCCUUCCCCUGCAUUGUAGGCGUUAAUUAGCUUUAUUUUCAGAUCCAGAGAGGAAGCCCAUGGUUCUUACGUGCUAGCAUGAGGUUUGUGAGUCAGAAUUCGUUUUGCUCUGGAAUUGUUGUUCCUAAUCACAAGUUCUAAUGACUCUAACAUUUGCACUUACUAAAAUUGCAAUGUCAUUUUGCAGCUCCAACGUUCAUCAAAUUAACAAACAAAACAAAACAAAAAAAAAAAACUGUUCGUUAAUAUCUAUAGAAAAUGUUUUAUUGUUUGAAAUACUUUGCUACUGAGGUUGUGUUUACAGCUGUUCACUUCAGAAAUCAAGAUAAUAUGUCAUUUGGCCAGGGGUGUUCAAACUUGUACGAAUAUAGAGGGUGUGUGUGAUUGGGUUCUUCUGCUAAUCCUGUUUGGAAUCAUAUGGCACCAAACAGUAUGAUCACAGAGUGCAAUCUGAAACCUGUCAAGUCAUAAAUCCCCAAAGCAUCGACACCCAUACCCCCCUCACAUCCCACUCACUCACUCACACACACACACACACACUUUAAACAGAAAAGUCUGGGUUUCAUCUCCUCACUUCAUUUAUGAUACACAAUAGUCUUACUAUCACACACCACAACGUCACCCAUUGCGACCCUCGGGAUCCAACUAAUUUCUUCUGGGAAUAAAAUUCCUACACAAGUCCUGUCCUUUUU
ensembl:lncRNA